rnacentral:miRNA from 1 species
CUCAAGCUCGGCUCAUUUU